rnacentral:rRNA from 1 species
UACGUAGGGUGCGAGCGUUGUCCGGAAUUAUUGGGCGUAAAGAGCUCGUAGGCGGUGUGUCACGUCGGCCGUGAAAACCUGCAGCUUAACUGUGGGCGUGCGGUCGAUACGGGCAUCACUGGAGUUCGGCGGGGGAGACUGGAAUUCCUGGUGUAGCGGUGAAAUGCGCAGAUAUCAGGAGGAACACCGGUGGCGAAGGCGGGUCUCUGGGCCGAUACUGACGCUGAGGAGCGAAAGCGUGGGGAGCAAACAGG